ACGUACAAGCAGUGGGAGCACAGAGCAAUCUGUGUGACUGCGUACCUUUUGUAUAAUGGGUCAGCGACUUAUAUUCUGUAGCAAGGUUAACCGAAUAGGGGAGCCGAAGGGAAACCGAGUCUUAACUGGGCGUUAAGUUGCAGGGUAUAGACCCGAAACCCGGUGAUCUAGCCAUGGGCAGGUUGAAGGUUGGGUAACACUAACUGGAGGACCGAACCGACUAAUGUUGAAAAAUUAGCGGAUGACUUGUGGCUGGGGGUGAAAGGCCAAUCAAACCGGGAGAUAGCUGGUUCUCCCCGAAAGCUAUUUAGGUAGCGCCUCGUGAAUUCAUCUCCGGGGGUAGAGCACUGUUUCGGCAAGGGGGUCAUCCCGACUUACCAACCCGAUGCAAACUGCGAAUACCGGAGAAUGUUAUCACGGGAGACACACGGCGGGUGCUAACGUCCGUCGUGAAGAGGGAAACAACCCAGACCGCCAGCUAAGGUCCCAAAGUCAUGGUUAAGUGGGAAACGAUGUGGGAAGGCCCAGACAGCCAGGAUGUUGGCUUAGAAGCAGCCAUCAUUUAAAGAAAGCGUAAUAGCUCACUGGUCGAGUCGGCCUGCGCGGAAGAUGUAACGGGGCUAAACCAUGCACCGAAGCUGCGGCAGCGACGCUGAUGCGUUGUUGGGUA
rnacentral:rRNA from 1 species